UCAUCCAAUUGAUAAGACUAGAAACAUAUAGUUUGGAGAUUUACCUGCAGAAGAGCAUCACAUUUUAAACUUACAAUGGACUUCUGCUCUGCAUCACAGCAAACCAGAAGCCCCAGCUCAUGGAUCACCCUCAUCCUCCUGUACUCAAUUGUCACCAUGUGCACUAGAGUAGAGGGCUGGUCCUACCAUCACUCCAACAAAACUAUGAGCC